rnacentral:rRNA from 1 species
AUUGAACGCUGGCGGCAGGCCUAACACAUGCAAGUCGAACGAGUGGCGGACGGGUGAGUAAUGUCGGGGAAACUGCCUGAGGGAGGGGGAUAAAUACGGGAAACGGUAGCUAAUACCGCAUAACAUGAGAUGUGCACAGGUGGGAUUAGCUGGUUGGUGGGGUAACGGCUCACCAAGGAGACGAGCCCUAGCUGGUCUGAGAGGAUGACCAGCCACACUGGGACUGAGACACGGUCCAGACUCCUACGGGAGGCAGCAGUGGGGAAUAUUGCACAAUGGGCGCAAGCCUGAUGCAGCCAUGCCGCGUGUAUGAAGAAGGCCUUCGGGUUGUAAAGUACUUUCAGCGGGGAGGCGUUACCCGCAGAAGAAGCACCGGCUAACUCCGUGCCAGCAGCCGCGGUAAUAC